rnacentral:rRNA from 1 species
UAACGAAUAUUCCGCAAUGCGCGAAAGCGUGACGGAGCAAUGCCGCGUGUGGGACGAAGCCCCUAGGGGUGUAAACCACUGUCAGGGUUCAGGAAUUUUGACCAGACCCAGAGGAAGGGCCGGCUAACUUCGUGCCAGCAGCCGCGGUAAUACGAAGGGCCCGAGCGUUGCGCGGAAUCACUGGGCUUAAAGGGUGCGCAGGCGGACUCGCAAGUGUCUUGUGAAAUCCCACGGCUCAACCGUGGAAUUGCUUGGCAAACUGCGAGUCUUGAGCCCGGCAGGGGCCAUCGGAACUCUAGGUGGAGCGGUGAAAUGCGUAGAUAUCUAGAGGAACGCCCAAGGCGAAGGCAGAUGGCUGGGCCGGCGCUGACGCUCAGGCACGAAAGCGUGGGGAGCGAACGGGAUUAGAUACCCCCGUAGUCC